UGCAGGGUUAGGACGGAGCGGCGCGGGCCGGCCCCGCUCGUCCCGGGAUGCCGGGAUGGAGAGCGCCCGGGGGAUAUCGUCGCAGCCCCUCCGGCACACACGGCUCCCGCGGCGUGCCGAAACCUCCCUGGCAGGCAGGAAGGCUUCGUGGUUUCACCCCCUCCUGCCCUAUAACUCCGGCAGGAAGGCCCUAUCUGCUAUGUUAGCCUGAUCCACCUCCACCCAGAUGUGCCCCUGCAGAGCCUAUCCACUCUUCCUCAAUCCCCACAGAGGCACAGCAGCCAGAACACAAGUGGGUGUCAAUAGCCAUGUCUGCACACCCAAGGGAUGCAUCCCUAGCCCAGCCCUGCUAACUAGAGGUCCCUGGAGACCCAUAAAGAAAAGCAGGCUUUGAAAGAGGAAGAGCUCUACUCUGUUCAAGUCCAAAAGCUGAGGCAUCCAGCUAAUACCAAACAUUACUGGUGGCUUUCAUUCCUUGGGCCUUUGUAAAGGGCACUUAACAGAGCAACUAAGUCUGGGCCAGCUGAUUUGUGACUCAAGGAUGUGAAGGAUUUUCAUGUAAAAUCUUGAGAGAGCAAGAGCUGGGACUCUUUUCAGUGGCCAGGCUGGGCAAAAGUUGGGUUUUACAAGCAGCAGACUGAACAGGGUCCUGCACCAGGACAGUUUUCAAAGCAAUUCAACUUGGAAUGCAGAUUUCUGACCUUCAGCCAAUAUCUCAGUGGAAAAUCUGUGCCCUAAGCAGCAGAUGGGAAAUUAAACUUCAGCUGCAAUGCUGAGGGUACCAUUUUCACCUCAGCAGUGGAGCUACAAAAACCAGAGUCUCUGGAGAAUGGGGAAAUCCUUCCUAGGCCACAAAGAGCAGUAAGGCCUGUCAGGCCAUUUGUCACUGCUGGGGUAACUGAAUUAACUCCAUCCUGGGGCAGAAUGAAGAUGUGAUGCUGGUGAACCAGGGGUAAAAGCCCUGCAUUUCCAAAGAUAAGGAUGGAUAUCUGACUGGUCAGAGAUCAGGCAGUCACUUCAACCAUGGGAUGAAAAUCACAGCUGAAGGAGAAAAGGAAGCCUAUGAAAACCCCUUCUCAACACCUGGCUCUCCAGCUAUCCCUUCUUCAAGCCGAACUUCUCCACAACAAGGCCCAGCAGCCAAGGACCCUGUAGCUGGUGAAAAGAAGUUGAAAUGUGGAGAUACAUGGUAUCAUGUACUCAAGUAAUGUUAGAAGCUUCUGGGAAGAAAAUAUCCCAUGUUCCUUUAAAGCCAGGAAACCUAUUAUGCCCUGAACUCCUGCAGUGAAAGCUCCUGAGUCUGAGAUCAAGCAGACAUCUGCACCCCAGCAUUGGAAUGGUCUCUGCAGAAGCUGGUGGAUUUGGGAAUCCAUUUUCUGGACAUCUCUGGACAAGGGAGAUGAUGGAUAGCCUCAUGGGUUUUAGGGCUUUGAGGAACAACUCUGGUAAUCAAGUAUGGCUCCUUACAGAGCUAAGUGUGCCCUGCUUCAAAUUCAUCAUCUGCAACUGAGCUCAGUUUAAAGGCUCCAGAUACAUCCAGACCUUAAAAAAAAAAAACAAACCAAAAAACCAAAACACAACACAAAAAACAAGUGUUGUAAAGAGAAAUACAGUUACCAAACAAAUGAGUCACUGCAAAGAAGGACUCUCUAGCUUAAGCCUCCAAAAUGUUUUCUCAGGCUUUUUGCUCUUAGAUGAAUAAGUCCUUACUACCAUAGAUUUUCCUGAGAACAAAUAAAUCCAAGUUACUUUUUCA